rnacentral:snRNA from 1 species
GUAACGUUGAGGAAUAUAGU